CGAACGGGUGAGUAACACGUGGGCAACCUGCCCAAAAGAGGGGGAUAACACUUGGAAACAGGUGCUAAUACCGCAUAACCAUAGUUACCGCAUGGUAGCUAUGUAAAAGGUGGCUAUGCUACCGCUUUUGGAUGGGCCCGCGGCGCAUUAGCUAGUUGGUGGGGUAAAGGCUUACCAAGGCAAUGAUGCGUAGCCGAACUGAGAGGUUGAUCGGCCACAUUGGGACUGAGACACGCCCAAACUCCUACGGGAGGCAGCAG
rnacentral:rRNA from 1 species